GAUGUGCUCAGGCCAUCAGCUGCCCAGAGGAUGGAGAGUCAGUCAGAGGCACAGGUACGAUCCAUGGUAGUAGCCUCAGUGGAGCCUGACUCUGGCCUACAAGGCCCACCUGAAGCAUCAAGUCCUCACGGUGAGCACCUCAUGCUGCUUCCCAUCAAAACUCACUCUCUGAGUUUAGUAUUUCCUCACCUCCGUCUUCCAAGUUUUGCAGUUUGUGUUUGAAGCUAGUACUCUUCAUCAAUGACUCUUGGUCUACAGUCUAAAAAAAAAAAGGCCAUAAAGUGGCAGCCACGCUAAGAAGUGGUCCGUCACCUGCUUACUGACUGCUAUCACGCGCCUGGCAAUGUGCACAGCUGCAGAAAGAUAAAGAAAAUCAGGUACCUGUUUUCUGAACAGAAUCUUCAGGAGAAUCUCCAGAAACUUCUGGAGGCAUGGAGUUACUCUGCUUGGAGGAGCCCAGUGAAUGGGAAAUAUCCCAUCCUGCCGACAAGGUUCUCUUACAAUCAAUUUCCAGAGAUUCUCUGCCAGACAACAACUGGUAAUUUAAAAUAAAGCAACCUUUGUUGAGACCUUCUCUAGGUGUGGUAAUGUGACAGAGUGGUAUUUCCUGCCUGGCUUUUCCUUAAAAUCAACAGGGAGAGCUUAACAAGAAAGGUAUUCCCACUAAUUCGUGAAUAUUGAGCAAUUUUUCAUAUACCUGUAGGUCUUUGGAGAAAUGUCUAUUCAAGUCCUUCACUUGGUUUUUAAAAUCUGGCUGAUUUUUUGGCUGUUGAGUUGUAGGAGUUCCUUAGAUACUUUGGACAUUCACUUAUUACUAUAUGGUAGGACAGUAUUUUUUAAAAGCCCCCAAAGAUAACAAGUGUUCGUGAAAAUGUGGAGAAAUUAGCACGCUUACACAUUGUUUAUAGAAAUAUCAAAUGGUAUAGCCACCAUGGAAAAAAAUUGCUCAAAAAGAAAUUAAAAAGUAGAACUAUCAAAUUAUGCAGCAUCCCACUUCACUUCUGGGUAUAUAUCCAAAAGAAGCAUUUUUACAACAGCCAAAUUAUGGAAACCAUUUAAAUAUCCAUCAAUGCCAAAUACAGCAUGAUUCUACUUAUAGGAGAGAUCUAAAAUAGUCAAACAUUGGAAAUGGAAAGGUGAGUAAAAGAGGCUGGAGAGAGAAAUAUAGAGUUGUUCAACAUGUAUAAAGUUGUUGUUCAACAUUUGCAAGAUGCAAGAUGAGUAAGUUUUAGAGAUCCAUUGUUUAACAUUGUGCCUACAGUUGACAAUACCAUGUUUGGCACUUAAAAAUGUGUUAAGAUGAUAGAACUCAUGUUAAGUGUUCUUGCCAUAAUGAAAAACAAAAACAAAAAUAAAUGAAAAGUUAAUGCACCCAUAUAUGUGGGCAACCACUUAUCUACUUUGUCUCUAUGAAUUAGUUUGGAUUUUCUAGUAUUUUAUAUGAAUGGAAUCAUAUAACAUGUACUCCUGUUUUUUUGUCAGGCUUCUUUCAUUUGGAGAUAAUUUCGUGUUGUAUAUAUCAGUUGUUAAUUCGUUUUCAUUUUUGAGUAAUAGUCCAUCAUAUGGAUAUACCAAAAUCUGUUUAUGUGCUCAUCUACUGAUGGACAUUUGGGUUGUUUCCAGUUUGGGAUAAUUACAAAUAAAGCUGUUAUAAACAUUCA